CGCCGCCGUCAUCUCAGCACCAUCAGCCCAGCCCCAGCGCCGUCAGCAAGAUCCCAAAGGGUAUUGAAGAAUAUGGCUUCUUCUUCUAAGAAAGAUUUUGCUUGGCAAUGGACAAAAGAUUUGGAUCCUGUCACUAAGCACUUCUAUUGUGUUU